rnacentral:rRNA from 1 species
UACGUAGGUGGCAAGCGUUGUCCGGAAUUAUUGGGCGUAAAGCGCGCGCAGGCGGUCCUUUAAGUCUGAUGUGAAAGCCCACGGCUCAACCGUGGAGGGUCAUUGGAAACUGGGGGACUUGAGUGCAGGAGAGAAGAGUGGAAUUCCACGUGUAGCGGUGAAAUGCGUAGAUAUCAGGAAGAACACCCGUGGCGAAGGCGGUUCUCUGGGACGGUACUGACGCUGAGACGCGAAAGCGUGGGGAGCGAACAGG